GAACAUUCAGAAGUCUAUAACUAGUUUAGAAGUGAAUAUUGAAAAAAAAAGAAGUGAAAGGCACAGCAUUUUAAAUAAAUCAAAGAUGGAAGAUAUCGUUAUUCCGAUGUCGCUUGGUAACAUGGAAGACAUUGGGCAAGAUAGUAAUAUGCUACCGGAAGUAUGAAUAGCGAGUCUGUCACAACCAGUGGUAGCGAUUCAGUUAGCAUUCCACAAAACUCUCAAGAGAUAUAUGAGAGAGAAGAAAGAAUUGUUGUCGACUAUUCUAAUCUACCUGACAAGUAUAAAAAUCUUCUUGUAUCGGAUGAAAUACGCCGUGAAGGUGAUCUCCUAGAACGUCGCGUGAACGAGUUGAGCCAUACAGUUCAGCAUAUUAAAGCCCCUAAUAUGCGGGCUGUGGAAAAAAUUUGACUUGGCAGGAGAAAAGCUACAAGGGACCAACAGAGUUUGAAAAGGUUCGCGCCAAAACCAAGAAAGCUCAACAGGCAUUUGAAAGAGUAAAACAAGAGCGCUUUGAUCUCUUUAUGUCUUGUUUUGAACACGUUUUGAAUAAAAUCGAUGGCAUUUAUAAUUCGUUGGCGAGGAACAAUUCUGCUCAAGCCGUUUACCCCAGCCGUCAGCCGUCAGAGCGCCCCUAUCAGCCUGACGGUGCAAUGGAAUUUUCGCCUACUAAUAGAAUUUUCGCCGGAUCUAUGCAGACGCACCUACCCCCUGUCACAUCACAUCACAUCACUGCCUAAUUCCAGAAUUCUUCCAAGAUAGCUCUGUGACUUAGCCGAAGGCCAACGCUUGCAACGCGAGCCCUAGUAU